UACGAAGGGUGCAAGCGUUAAUCGGAAUUACUGGGCGUAAAGGGUGCGUAGGCGGUUCGUUAAGUCUGUUGUGAAAUCCCCGGGCUCAACCUGGGAAUGGCAAUGGAUACUGGCGAGCUAGAGUGUGGUAGAGGAUGGUGGAAUUCCCGGUGUAGCGGUGAAAUGCGUAGAGAUCGGGAGGAACAUCAGUGGCGAAGGCGGCCAUCUGGAUCAACACUGACGCUGAAGCGCGAAAGCGUGGGGAGCAAACAGG
rnacentral:rRNA from 1 species